AUAUAGAUUACCUGGAGGGCUUGUUAAAAGGCAGAGUCUGAUUCAGCAGGCCUAGAGGUAGGGGUGGAGAGUCUGUAUUUCUCACAAGCUCACAGGUGAUGACAAC
rnacentral:pre_miRNA from 1 species